AUUAAAAAGUAAACAUGGGACGGCUCAUCGAUUAAUACUUAGGAGUUUGAACGUUAAACCAAGUCAUUCCAAAAGGAUGUCUUCGAGAUCGAGGUCUAGUUCAAAAAAGCAGAAAAAAUCAAAGAAGAGACACCGCGAAAGUAGCAGUUCUUCAGAAGAAAGUGACAGUGACACUAGUUCAAGUGAUUCGUCUUCUUCAUCUUCGUCAUCAGAGAGCGACAGUCGUUCUCGGAAGCGCAAGAAAAAUAAACGGAAAAAGAAACUUAAACGGUCUAGAAGUUCUUCAUCUUUGUCAUCUUCAUCUUCAUCAUCAUCACCUGUUAGAAAAAAAAAG
rnacentral:misc_RNA from 1 species